CAGUCGCCGCGGUAAUACGGAGGGGGCUAGCGUUGUUCGGAAUUACUGGGCGUAAAGCGCACGUAGGCGGCUUGGUAAGUUAGAGGUGAAAGCCUGGAGCUCAACUCCAGAAUUGCCUUUAAGUCUGCCGAGCUAGCAGGUGAGAGAGGUAAGUGGAAUUCCGAGUGUAGAGGUGAAAUUCGUAGAUAUUCGGAAGAACACCAGUGGCGAAGGCGGCUUACUGGCUCAUACUGGACGCUGAGGUGCGAAAGCGUGGGGAGCAAACAGGAUUAGAUACCCCAGUAGUCCCUGUCUCUUAUAC
rnacentral:rRNA from 1 species